AUUGAACGCUGGCGGCAGGCCUAACACAUGCAAGUCGAGCGGAUGAAGGGAGCUUGCUCCUGGAUUCAGCGGCGGACGGGUGAGUAAUGCCUAGGAAUCUUCCUGGUAGUGGGGGAUAACGUCCGGAAACGGGCGCUAAUACCGCAUACGUCCUGAGGGAGAAAGUGGGGGAUCUUCGGACCUCACGCUAUCAGAUGAGCCUAGGUCGGAUUAGCUAGUUGGUGGGGCAAAGGCCUACCAAGGCGACGAUCCGUAACUGGUCUGAGAGGAUGAUCAGUCACACUGGAACUGAGACACGGUCCAGACUCCUACGGGAGGCAGCAGUGGGGAAUAUUGGACAAUGGGCGAAAGCCUGAUCCAGCCAUGCCGCGUGUGUGAAGAAGGUCUUCGGAUUGUAAAGCACUUUAAGUUGGGAGGAAGGGCAGUAAGUUAAUACCUUGCUGUUUUGACGUUACCAACAGAAUAAGCACCGGCUAACUUCGUG
rnacentral:rRNA from 1 species